GACGAACGCUGGCGGCGUGCUUAACACAUGCAUGUCGAACGGAAAGGCCCUGCUUUUGUGGGGUGCUCGAGUGGCGAACGGGUGAGUAACACGUGAGUAACCUGCCCUUGACUUUGGGAUAACUUCAGGAAACUGGGGCUAAUACCGGAUAGGAGCUCCUGCUGCAUGGUGGGGGUUGGAAAGUUUCGGCGGUUGGGGAUGGACUCGCGGCUUAUCAGCUUGUUGGUGGGGUAGUGGCUUACCAAGGCUUUGACGGGUAGCCGGCCUGAGAGGGUGACCGGCCACAUUGGGACUGAGAUACGGCCCAGACUCCUACGGGAGGCAGCAGUGGGGAAUAUUGCACAAUGGGCGGAAGCCUGAUGCAGCAACGCCGCGUGCGGGAUGACGACCUUCGGGUUGUAAACCGCUUUCGCCUGUGACGAAGCGUGAGUGACGGUAAUGGGUAAAGAAGCACCGGCUAACUACGUG
rnacentral:rRNA from 1 species